AUGAAUACUUUUUUGGCGCAUGACAUGGUAUUCCUUCCAGUUAACAUCGAAAAAUGCCAUUGGUAUCUAUCAGUAAUCAAUGCGAAGAAACGAGAGAUACAGGUACUGGACUCGCUUGGAGUUGGAAUGAGCCGAAGUGACCUCACUAACAUGUUACAAGGACUUGACCAGCAUCUAAAAAUCGCAUGCGAGAUGCCGGAGUUUAAGAGAGGUGAUAGGUGGCAAGACCUCGAUGUUACGGAUUGGAAAGUCGUGGAACAGCUCAAAGAGCCAAUGCAAACAGAUGGCACGUCAUGUGGAUUGUUUAUGUUAAACUUUAUGGAGUAUUGGACAGGAGAUAUUUUGUCUGAUCAGUUCACUCAGGAGGACAUGAAAGAAUUUCGACGAAAAUUAGCUGUCAUACUAUUGGAAACAGAACUUAAUACGUUAAAAGGAAGUCCAAUAUAUUAUGAGCCUGACAAUGAAGAAAAUGUAUCUGAUUCUGAUGUUGAGUUCCUGGGGGAUCGAAAGCGUAAGCGGCAAGAUUCACCCGAUAGAGCCAAAGACAAAAGCCCCCUUCCGAACCCUAUCAUCGCUGCCGCGGACCCGCAUGAUUUAGUUGACGAACUAUGCAACCACAUCAUGUCAAUUAAUGAUGCUGAUUCCCUGGAGAAGGAGUGGGUGCGAAGCUCUAAACCCCAUCCGAUAGGAUUAAGUCUCAGAAGGAUUCAAGGUAUACUCCACAAGGAUCAGCCGUUGGACAGUGAUUGUUUCAACAUGGCUAUACGUAUACUUGCACGUGACAAGGCCUUACUGCCAGUAGAUCCUCGAGUGUGCUUUAUGGAUCUACAAUUUUGUACGUCCGUGAUCGAGGCCGCCCUCACUUCUGCACGAGAUUUAGAUUCACGGGUACAGCCAGAUAUUCAGGCGCUAGCAUCGUUGCUCCGUAGCUCGACUGAGAUAGACAACAUAUCAUCAUGCAAUUGGAUAUUGCUCCCUCAUGCAUUCCUUGGCCACUACAUCUUGUUCGCAAUCGACAAACAUUCACGUCAAGUAACUAUUUUGGACCCAAUAUUUCCGCCCUUAUCCCCAGAGAGAUAUGCGUUAAAAUUUCAGAGGGUUUCAUUCUACCUGAAUGAUGCACUCGAAUUAGCACAACCGGGUUGGAAGUCUGAUACAUUUGCCUGGCCACGUAAAUCACUACUUGAUGUUCCGAUGAGCCUAGACCGGAAUGAAUCUGGUUAUUUUGUUUUCAAUUAUAUGCUCUGGCAUGGUAACAAAUUUGUUCGUCCAAUUUACACGGAUGGUUAUGAGUUGAGAAAGAAUAUUUUGAUACACUUGCUCGAGUAUGAUGCGAAUGAAGCUGAAGACAAUAUCCCAUAUGAUGUACGAGAAAUUCUCAAGUGCCUCAAGUAG
rnacentral:rRNA from 1 species